AUGAGCGGCCGCGAUGCCGCCUCCCCGGCGCCGGCCGACGCCUCCGCCAUAUGCGCUCAGAUCGCGGCCGUCUUCGCCGCGCCAUCCGCGCACCCACCGGCGCGCGCCGUCCUAGUCUCUGAGCUCGCCGCCGCGUCCUCCCGGGGAGGCCGCGUGUUCGUGCACGGCGUCGGGCGCGAGGGCCUCAUGAUGCGCGCCCUCUGCAUGCGCCUGGCGCACCUCGGCCUCCCAGCGCACUGCGUCGGCGACGUCACGGCGCCGCCCGCCUUAUCGGGAGACCUCCUCGUCGCCUCCGCGGGACCGGGCGCGUUCUCCACCGUCGACGCCAUCUGCGGCGUGGCGCGAGGCGCCGGCGCGCGCGUCGUGCUGCUCACAGCGAGGCCGGAGGGAGAUUUCCCUGGGCGCCAAGCCGACGUGGUGGCCCACCUCCCCGCGCAGACCAUGGCUGACGACGAGGAUGGCGCGGCGGCGCAGGCGAAGCUGCCGAUGGGGAGCCUGUACGAGGGGGCCAUGUUUGUGCUGUUCGAGAUGGUGGUGCUCGAGCUCGCGGGUGUUCUGGGCCAAAGCCCGGCCCAAAUGAGGGCCCGCCACACAAACUUGGAGUAG
rnacentral:rRNA from 1 species